rnacentral:rRNA from 1 species
AACGAACGCUGGCGGCAGGCUUAACACAUGCAAGUCGAGCGAGACCUUCGGGUCUAGCGGCGGACGGGUGUGUAACGCGUGGGAACGUGCCCUUCUCUACGGAAUAGCCCCGGGAAACUGGUAGUAAUACCGUAUCCUCCCUUUGGGGGAAAGAUUUUUCGGAGCAGGAUCUUCCCGCGUUGGAUUAGGUAGUUGGUGUGGUAAUGGCCCACCACGCCGACGAUCCAUAACUGGUUUGAGAGGAUGAUCAGCCACACUGGGACUGAGACACGGCCCAGACUCCUACGGGAGGCAGCAGUGGGGAAUCGUAGACAAUGGGGGCAACGCUGAUCUAGCCAUGACGCGUGAGUGAUGAAGGCCGUAGGGUUGUAAUGCUCUUUCAGCUGGGAAGAUAAUGACGGUACCAGCAGAAGAAGCCCCGGCUAACUCCGUG